UAAGAAAUGAUGUAAACUGCAGCGUGUCUCAGGAGGUGCAGCAAUGCAGUUUAACAAUUAAGCCCAAUUCUACACGAGCCACAACACUUGCAGGUAGAAGUGAGCAGAGCAAAGGACUACAACUUCAAGACAACAUCAAGAUGGACAGAGCAAUUGCACUUGAAGCUUUGGGUGCAAUUUGCAAUGCCCAGAUCAAUUCUGUUCAAAACCAAAGAGCAGAAGCUCACGAUGGAGCUUUCCAAAGAGCAAGCCUUUCCUGCUCAGCAGCACCAACGCUGUCUGUAAAAACUCUCAUUCGUGCAGUUGCAGAUGGAAAUCAAACCUGCCCAGUGUCAAGAAACAACUUUGCCAGAAUUCAAUGUGUUCUGCAAGAUGGUGAAGUCAAGCAGAAAUCUGAUUGAUUUGAGCUCUCCGCUUAUCAAGUGGAGUCCUGAGGACAAGGCUGAGAACAAUGCUCCCCUCAUCAACCUGUCCUUCUGAUCAUCAUCCUCCUUAAGUACUGGAUCUGUGCACAUUACUGGACCACCACCUCUCUGUCUUCAGAAACUAAUAAUCCAACUUAUUCUGAGUUUUUAGUCAGUGGAGUCUUUCCUACAGUGGAGUACACAAACAUAAAUGUUUUACAUAAAAUAUUCUGAAAUUGCUUAAGUGUCUCUACAACUAAUUGUACUUUUAUUUCUCUUGAUUUUGCUGCUUAUUGUUUGAAAAAACCCUUCAAAGUCCCUUUAAUAUUCAUACACUAUCAAAAUUCACUGGUGUUACCUGGUGUUUUAUGUAGAAAUCAAUUGAUUUCACUCGUCUUUACUGACUCCAAGUCAGUUUUUAGUAUCUGAACAUUUGGAUUUGAGCUAAAAGUGGACGUUUGAAACAAAAAGUGACUUCCUGCCUUUAUUCAAAAUGGCUGUAUACAGGUUUUGUAAACUCACACAAAAAGGUCAUUUAAGGUGGUUUUCUUUCAUGUGGAAUAGAAUUGUUACUUUUGUUUUAGUACGUUAAAAGUACUGUGCAUGUAGAAAUACAGAUGAUGUAUUUAUUAACGUGGCAUUAAAAUAUUCUUUUUCCCAGGGUAAACUAAUACUCUUGGUUAACUAAGUUCAAAUUCUCACAUUUACCAGCCAGGUAGCAGUUGAUUCUAUGGCAGAGGAGUUUAUUCUAUCUCUUACACUCACACAAAGAAUGGGAAGAGCUACCGAGAUGUUAAAAAAACCUUUUUGUGCCUUUAACAAAACAAAAAUGGACUGGAAUAUCAACAAUGCUACAAGCUUUAAUCAUGAUAAAGCGUGGUUAUGUGGAUCAGCAUUGGUUGUGCUUUCCCUGUUAUGAUUAAAUUGCAGUUAAAGAGUG